rnacentral:rRNA from 1 species
AUGUCAUCCUCAACAUUGUGGCAUCGUCGCCUAGGCCAUCUCAGUAGUCAAGCUUUGUCACACCUAGCACGUGCUUUUUCUUUUCCUUGUAACAAAAACAAUAACGAUGACCAUUUAUGUCAUGCUUGUCAAUUAGGAAAACAUGUUCGCCUACCUUUUGAUACAUCUACUACUCAGACUACUUGUCCGUUUCAACUCAUCCAUUGUGAUUUGUGGACUUCGCCUCUUCCUAGUGUGUCUGGCUACAAAUACUACCUAGUUGUGUUAGAUGAUUUCACCCAUUACCUUUGGACUUUUCCUUUG